rnacentral:rRNA from 1 species
UACCCGCGGCAAGACGGAAAGACCCCGUGAACCUUUACUAUAGCUUGACACUGAACAUUGAGCCUUGAUGUGUAGGAUAGGUGGGAGGCUUUGAAGUGUGGACGCCAGUCUGCAUGGAGCCGACCUUGAAAUACCACCCUUUAAUGUUUGAUGUUCUAACGUUGACCCGUAAUCCGGGUUGCGGACAGUGUCUGGUGGGUAGUUUGACUGGGGCGGUCUCCUCCUAAAGAGUAACGGAGGAGCACGAAGGUUGGCUAAUCCUGGUCGGACAUCAGGAGGUUAGUGCAAUGGCAUAAGCCAGCUUGACUGCGAGCGUGACGGCGCGAGCAGGUGCGAAAGCAGGUCAUAGUGAUCCGGUGGUUCUGAAUGGAAGGGCCAUCGCUCAACGGAUAAAAGGUACUCCGGGGAUAACAGGCUGAUACCGCCCAAGAGUUCAUAUCGACGGCGGUGUUUGGCACCUCGAUGUCGGCUCAUCACAUCCUGGGGCUGAAGUAGGUCCCAAGGGUAUGGCUGUUCGCCAUUUAAAGUGGUACGCGAGCUGGGUUUAGAACGUCGUGAGACAGUUCGGUCCCUAUCUGCCGUGGGCGCUGGAGAACUGAGGGGGGCUGCUCCUAGUACGAGAGGACCGGAGUGGACGCAUCACUGGUGUUCGGGUUGUCAUGCCAAUGGCACUGCCCGGUAGCUAAAUGCGGAAGAGAUAAGUGCUGAAAGCAUCUAAGCACGAAACUUGCCCCGAGAUGAGUUCUCCCUGACUCCUUGAGAGUCCUGAAGGAACGUUGAAGACGACGACGUUGAUAGGCCGGGUGUGUAAGCGCAGCGAUGCGUUGAGCUAACCGGUACUAAUGAACCGUGAGG